UACGGAGGGUGCAAGCGUUAUCCGGAUUCACUGGGUUUAAAGGGUGCGUAGGUGGGUCUGUAAGUCAGUGGUGAAAUCUCCGGGCUUAACCCGGAAACUGCCAUUGAUACUAUAGGUCUUGAAUUUUCUGGAGGUGAGCGGAAUAUGUCAUGUAGCGGUGAAAUGCUUAGAUAUGACAUAGAACACCAAUUGCGAAAGGCAGCUCGCUACAGGAACAUUGACACUGAGGCACGAAAGCGUGGGGAUCAAACAGG
rnacentral:rRNA from 1 species